rnacentral:rRNA from 1 species
CUCGUAGGCGGUUCGUCGCGUCCGGUGUGAAAGUCCAUCGCCUAACGGUGGAUCUGCGCCGGGUACGGGCGGGCUUGAGUGCGGUAGGGGAGACUGGAAUUCCCGGUGUAACGGUGGAAUGUGUAGAUAUCGGGAAGAACACCAAUGGCGAAGGCAGGUCUCUGGGCCGUCACUGACGCUGAGGAGCGAAAGCGUGGGGAGCGAACA